CACGUAGGAGGCGAGCGUUAUUCGGAUUUACUGGGUGUAAAGCGCGUGCAGGCGGUUCAGAAAGUUGGAUGUGAAAGCUCCUGGCUUAACUGGGAGAGGUCGUUCAAAACUACUGGACUAGAGGUUGGUAGAGGGAGGUGGAAUUCCGGGUGUAGUGGUGAAAUGCGUAGAUAUCCGGAGGAACACCAGUGGCGAAAGCGGCCUCCUGGACCAAAACUGACGCUCAGACGCGAAAGCUAGGGUAGCAAACGGGAUUAGAGACCCCGGUAGUCCUAGCCGUAAACGAUGUGAACUUGGCGUCGGUGGGUUUAAAUCCAUCGGUGCCGAAGCAAACGCGAUAAGUUCACCACCUGGGGACUACGGCCGCAAGGUUAAA
rnacentral:rRNA from 1 species